GGUUGUGGAAUCCCUGUUGUAGUAGGAAUUGAGCCUGAGACAUAAGCCCUUGUAUCAGAGGCCUGGUAUGAGGCAGGACCUGCUUACAGAAUUUGGCAAGAACAGGGCUGAUAUUGCAGAAAAACACAUUCUUAAGAAGUGCUAGUCACAGAAUGCAUCCGCUGAAGUGAGCUGUAGCUCACGAAAGCUUAUGCUA